CCUACGGGAGGCAGCAGUGGGGAAUAUUGGACAAUGGGCGAAAGCCUGAUCCAGCCAUGCCGCGUGUGUGAAGAAGGUCUUCGGAUUGUAAAGCACUUUAAGUUGGGAGGAAGGGUUGUAGAUUAAUACUCUGCAAUUUUGACGUUACCGACAGAAUAAGCACCGGCUAACUCUGUGCCAGCAGCCGCGGUAAUACAGAGGGUGCAAGCGUUAAUCGGAAUUACUGGGCGUAAAGCGCGCGUAGGUGGUUUGUUAAGUUGGAUGUGAAAUCCCCGGGCUCAACCUGGGAACUGCAUUCAAAACUGACUGACUAGAGUAUGGUAGAGGGUGGUGGAAUUUCCUGUGUAGCGGUGAAAUGCGUAGAUAUAGGAAGGAACACCAGUGGCGAAGGCGACCACCUGGACUAAUACUGACACUGAGGUGCGAAAGCGUGGGGAGCAAACAGGAUUAGAUACCCUGGUAGUCCACGCCGUAAACGAUGUCAACUAGCCGUUGGAAGCCUUGAGCUUUUUAGGNGGCGCAGCUAACGCAUUAAGUUGACCGCCGUGGGGAGUAACCGGCCGACGUUAAAGGGUUAAAACUGAAAAGGUUAAUUGGACGGCGUUGGAAGACCGNGCGACGGACGACGACGAGGGAGGAGG
rnacentral:rRNA from 1 species